CGGGGCAACAGCUCAAAAACGUGAUUUUUGAGUCAUUUCUUAGAUUUUCUUUUCCUCACUUCUUCUUCCCUCUUCCAUGUCCGAAACCCUAGCUCCCAAAACCUUGAUUUCCUCCACUUUUCUCAACAAAUUAACCAUGAAUCUUGCAUCAAGGAUGGAGAAUAAGAGGAGAUCACCACUUUCUACCGAAUGGAAUUCCGAAAUUUUUGAGGGCACACUCCAGGAGGGGCAAGCACUCCGUUGUAGCACUGUGAGUAGUAGUACAAGAAUGUACACUUUAUAUACUAUUGACAAUUAUUGUCACUAAUCCUCUGUUCUUUGUAAGUAUUAUUCAAACAAUUAUGACAAUUGGAAAGCAAUGUGAACUUAUAUGAACGCUGAAAGAUUUGCGUACGUCGGUAUGAUUUUGGAAUCCUUAUAUUCCGUUAAUGACGAAUAUUAGCCCUUUGUUAUUUAUCA